UGAAGAGUUUGAUCAUGGCUCAGAUUGAACGCUGGCGGCAGGCCUAACACAUGCAAGUCGAGCGCGAAAGUACUUCGGUAUGAGUAGAGCGGCGGACGGGUGAGUAACGCGUAGGAAUCUAUCCAGUAGUGGGGGACAACUCGGGGAAACCCGAGCUAAUACCGCAUACGUCCUAAGGGAGAAAGCGGGGGAUCUUCGGACCUCGCGCUAUUGGAGGAGCCUGCGUUGGAUUAGCUAGUUGGUGGGGUAAAGGCCCACCAAGGCGACGAUCCAUAGCUGGUCUGAGAGGAUGAUCAGCCACACCGGGACUGAGACACGGCCCGGACUCCUACGGGAGGCAGCAGUGGGGAAUAUUGCGCAAUGGGCGAAAGCCUGACGCAGCCAUGCCGCGUGUGUGAAGAAGGCCUUCGGGUUGUAAAGCACUUUCAAUUGGGAAGAAAGGUCACGUGUUAAUAGCACGUGGCUGUGACAUUACCUUUAGAAGAAGCACCGGCUAACUCCGUGCCAGCAGCCGCGGUAAUACGGAGGGUGCGAGCGUUAAUCGGAAUUACUGGGCGUAAAGCGCGCGUAGGCGGCUUGAUAAGCCGGUUGUGAAAGCCCCGGGCUCAACCUGGGAAUUGCACCCGAUACUGGCCGACUGGAGUGCGAGAGAGGGAGGUAGAAUUCCACGUGUAGCGGUGAAAUGCGUAGAUAU
rnacentral:rRNA from 1 species